AAAUAAUAAUAAUAAUAAAAAAAACACAAGUCAAAGGAGACCCAGAAGCAAAACUCCAUGGAAAGAUACUCUUUUGACCUUCAAAAUCAUACUGGGUCAACAUUAUUAAAAGUUCAAAGGAUAGACACACUUCUUUCAUCUUCAAUAUAUAAAAUCAAGAAACGCAGUCAAAAACAAAUUUUUAAUAUAAUAUCUAGAAUGCAAAGAAAACAGCUCAACACCUAACCUAAGACUUGGAAACUGCUAAAAAAAAAUCCGAAACCUAACAAAUAACAAUGAAUAAAAACAAAUUCAAAGCUACCCAUUUUCAGCAUUGCUCACCAAUGGCCUAUGGUUAUGGAGCAAGAAAAGAAAGGAGAGGAAGAAGUGGAGUAGAAGGAAGGAAACCACCAUCUUCAUUGCCAUUUGCCACUCCCCUUUUGAGAUCCAAUAUGACCAAUUUUGCUUUUGAAAAGUCUGCUAGACACUAGGCUUUACUUUCCCCAGAUAAAAUCAUAAGCUGAGCUCCCAUCUCCAUCGAAGAAAUUUU
rnacentral:misc_RNA from 1 species